AGCUCGAGUUUCUCUUCAUUGUCGCAUAAAUCUUUCGCCUUUUACUAAAGAUUUCCGUGGAGGGGAACUUUUGCGAGUGACCUGUAUUUUUUGGGUGCUCUGCUCACAGCAGAGCU
rnacentral:snRNA from 1 species